UACGAAGGGGGCUAGCGUUGUUCGGAAUUACUGGGCGUAAAGCGUAUGUAGGCGGAUCUUUAAGUCAGGGGUGAAAUCCCGAGGCUCAACCUCGGAACUGCCUUUGAUACUGGGGAUCUUGAGUCCGGGAGAGGUUAGUGGAACUGCGAGUGUAGAGGUGAAAUUCGUAGAUAUUCGCAAGAACACCAGUGGCGAAGGCGGCUUACUGGUCCGGUUCUGACGCUGAGGCGCGAAAGCGUGGGGAGCAAACAGG
rnacentral:rRNA from 1 species